rnacentral:miRNA from 14 species
AUAUAUAUAUAUAUAUAUAUAUAUAUAUAUAUAUAUAUAUAUAUAUGCAUACAUACAUACACAUAUGCAUACAUACAUACACACACACAUAUAUAUAUACAUAUAUAUAUAUA